ensembl:lncRNA
GUAUCCACAAUACCUAGCAGACCACCCAUGUUGUUGGGUAUGCUCCCAAGUAUAUUUUUAACAACCUUAUUUGAGGGAUUAUUGUGAACUCUGUGCAACUUUCUAAGUUUUUACAUAGGUGUACACACCUGUGAGACCCUUACCACAAUCAAGAUGAUAAAUAUAUCUGUUGUCCCCCAAAGUUUCCUGAGGCCUCUUGGGAUUCCUUCCGUCUAGCCUAUGCCCCACUUCACCUCACCUCCAGGCAACCACUGAUUUGCUGACACUAUUGAUUAGCUUGCAUUUUCUAGAAACUUAUAUAAAUACAACUAUACUGUAUAUAAGUUUGUCUGGCUUUCUUCACUCGGGGUAUUAGAGAUUCAUGUUGUUAUUCAGUUGCUCAGUUGUGUCCAGCUCUUUGUGACCCCAUGGACUGCAGCACACCAGGCUUCCCUGUCCUUUACUGAUCUCCUGGAGCUUUCUCAAACUCUUGUCCAUUGAGUUGGUGAUGCCAUCCAACUGUCUCAUCUUCUGUUGGCCCCUUCUCCUCCUGCCCUCAAUCUUUCCCAGCAUCAGGGUGUUUUCCAAAGAGUUGGCUCUUUGCAUCAGGUGGCCAAAGUAUCGGAGCUUGAGCUUCAGCAUCAGUCCUUCCAAUGAAUAUUCAGGACUGAUUUCCUUUAGCAUUGGCAGCUUUGAUCUCCGCACAUGACUAUUGGAAAAACCAUAGCUUUGAUUAUAUGGACCUUUGUCAGCAAAGUGAUGUCUGUUUUUCAAUACACUGUCUAGGUUUGUCACAGCUUUUCUUCCAAGGAGUAAACGUCUUUUAAUUUCAUGGCUGCAGUUACCAUUUGCGGUGAUUUUGGAGCCCAAGAAAAUAAAGUUUGUCACUGUUUCAUUUUUUUCGCCAUCUAUUUGCCCAUGAAGCGAUGGGACUAGAUGCCAUAAUCUGUAAGUUUUUUUAAUGUUGAGUUUUAAGCCAGCCUUUUCACUCUCCUCGUUCACCUUCAUCAGAAGGCUCUUUAGUUCCUCUUCACUUUCUGCCAUUAAGGUGGUGUCAUCUGCAUACCUGAGGUUAUUGAUACUGAGAUUCAUGUAGCAUGUAUCAAUAGUUCAUACCUUUGAAUUGCUGAAUAGUACAUCCUGUGGACAAACUGAAACCACUGGGUGGCGUUUGGGGGCGCUUCGAGGAGCUCUGUUCUCCAGUGGAGUUUUCUUGUCCGUGCCUGGUCAAGCUGC